GGUGGGGUGGCCGAGUGGUUUAAGGCGAUGGUCUUGAAAACCAUUAUGCCCGAAAGGGUAUCGUGAGUUCGAAUCUCACCCCCACCG
rnacentral:tRNA from 1 species